GUCGUACAAAACACAGGAGCCAAGAAGGGCUCUCAACCUCAAACCCUAACAAGCAUAAAAUCAACAAAUUGAAGGGGUAAAUCCAACCUAAAUCGAAAUCCAAGCACGAAUUCAUGAUCACCUCGAUGAAGGGAUCAUAAGAUGGAGGCUUGGGGAAAGAAGCGGGUCAAACGGAUCGUAUACGCGGAAAAGAGCAUAAUCCGGAUACUAGGUGAAGAUGGACCUAAUCCGGAUGAAGAUCAAGCGGCGAGCAAGAACCGAACACACGUUAAAUGAAGCUUCCGCGUCAAAUCCUGAUUUGUGUUGAUAUAAGUGAAUUAUGUAAACACUUAUAAAUUGUUUUUGAAAUGUUGUAAUCAUUUGGGAAUGUUGGUAUAACAAGUUUU